ACGGGGUGCAGCAGGCGCGAAAACUUUGCAAUACACGAAAGUGUGACAGGGCUAUCCCGAGUGCCAUCCGCUGAGGAAGGCUUUUACCCAGUCUAGAAAGCUGGGGGAAUAAGGAGAGGGCAAGUCUGGUGUCAGCCGCCGCGGUAAUACCAGCUCUCCGAGUGGUGUGGAUGUUUAUUGGGCCUAAAGCAUCCGUAGCUGGCCAAGUUAGUCCCCUGUUAAAUCCACCGAAUUAAUCGUUGGAGUGCGGGGGAUACUGCUCGGCUAGGGGACGAGAGAGGCCGACGGUAUUUUCGGGGUAGGGGUGAAAUCCUAUAAUCCCGGGAAGACCACCAGUGGCGAAGGCUGUCGGCUAGAACGCGCCCGACGGUGAGGGAUGAAAGCUGGGGGAGCGAACCGGAUUAGAUACCCGGGUAGUCCCAGCUGUAAACGAUGCAGGCUAGGUGUUUGGGCGGCCACGUGCCGCUCUAGUGCCGCAGGGAAGCUGUUAAGCCUGCCGCCUGGGGAGUACGGCCGCAAGGCUGAAACUUAAAGGAAUUGGCGGGGGAGCAC
rnacentral:rRNA from 1 species